AGCUGGACAGAGUCAUCUUCUGUGUGUUCUUGCCGUCGGAUAAGGAGCUGUACUUGCAGACCCUCCCGCUCUACUUCCCUGCUGCAGCAGCAGCCGCAGUCAAGAGUAAACUCUGAGAGGGGAUCGGUCCCAUUUGGUUGCUGUGGAUACCACCGCGACGCUCAACAUUCAGGCUGCUCCACCUCGUUGCACAUCAAGACCUUCUUCAGCAGGAAGAUAACUCCUCAAUGUAUGAUUGCUUGUUUUGAAGUGCUGUUCAGCAGAUGUCGAUGAGUUCUUCUUUUUUCCCGUGAAUGGAUGAGAGACGUGUCGUGAUGAAGGUGUAAAAUGAUAUUGAUAAUUUUAGUGAAAAAUUUGACCUUAAGCUGCAUUCUAACUUGACCUUUAUUGUCUUUGAGCAGCUUUGCAUCAAGCUAUGAGUUGUGUCCUGAGCUAGUUAAAUAUUGGGAUUCCUGUGGGUGUGGGUGUGUGUGGCAAUGACAAAAGCUUAUUAAAAUGAAUUACAAAGGC